UACAGAGGGGGCAAGCGUUUAUUCGGAAUUAUUGGGCGUAAAGGGCGCGUAGGCGGCUUUUCAAGUGACGGGUGAAAGCCCUCGGCUUAACCGAGGAACUGCCUGUCAGACUGGAAGGCUUGAGACCGGGAGAGGUGAGUGGAAUUCCCAGUGUAGCGGUGAAAAUGCGUAGAUAUUGGGAGGAACACCAGUGGCGAAGGCGGCUCACUGGACCGGAACUGACGCUGAGGCGCGAAAGCGUGGGGAGCAAACAGG
rnacentral:rRNA from 1 species